rnacentral:rRNA from 1 species
UACAUGGGGUGCAAACGUUGCUCGGAAUUAUUGGGCGUAAAGCGCACGUAGGCGGUCCGUUAAGUCGGAUGUGAAAUCCCCCGGCUCAACCGGGGAAGUGCAUCCGAAACUGGCGGGCUAGAGUACGAAAGAGGGUCGCGGAAUUCCCGGUGUAGAGGUGAAAUUCGUAGAUAUCGGGAGGAACACCGGUGGCGAAGGCGGCGACCUGGGUCGAUACUGACGCUGAGGUGCGAAAGCGUGGGGAGCAAACAGG